rnacentral:rRNA from 1 species
CACACUAUCAUUAACUGAAUCCAUAGGUUAAUGAGGCGAACCGGGGGAACUGAAACAUCUAAGUACCCCGAGGAAAAGAAAUCAACCGAGAUUCCCCCAGUAGCGGCGAGCGAACGGGGAGCAGCCCAGAGCCUGAAUCAGUGUGUGUGUUAGUGGAAGCGUCUGGAAAGGCGCGCGAUACAGGGUGACAGCCCCGUACACAAAAAUGCACAUAUUGUGAGCUCGAUGAGUAGGGCGGGACACGUGGUA